CAGCCGCCGCGGGAAUACGAAGGGUGCAAGCGUUAAUCGGAAUUACUGGGUGUAAAGCGCGCGUAGGUGGUUUGGUAAGAUGGAUGUGAAAUCCCCGGGCUCAACCUGGGAACUGCAUCCAUAACUGCCUGACUAGAGUACGGUAGAGGGUGGUGGAAUUUCCUGUGUAGCGGUGAAAUGCGUAGAUAUAGGAAGGAACACCAGUGGCGAAGGCGACCACCUGGACUGAUACUGACACUGAGGUGCGAAAGCGUGGGGAGCAAACAGGAUUAGAUACCCCUGUAGUCCCUGUCUCUUAUAC
rnacentral:rRNA from 1 species